rnacentral:lncRNA from 1 species
GGUCAUCCUGGGGUCACCCUGGGGACAGUCUAGGGAAGGAGAAGGCCGUGGCAACAGGGGGGAGGUGAGAAAGGGGGUGGGGAAAAUGGCAGCUGAGGGACUGGCCAGGAGCUGCUAUCCUUUGUCUGCCUGGCUUUUACGCGUGUGUGGGGACAAAGCCUCUCUGCUAGAAAGGGCUCCUUUUCCCUAGAGAUCUGCGGUGUGUGAGUGUGUGUGUGUGUGUGUGUGUGUGUGUGUGUGUGUGUGCGCGCGCACCGCGCCUACCCCUCUCCGAGGCUCUGGUGGGAAUGACUCAGCAACACAGCCAAGCCUGCUCCAUUCUGCCAGCUCCAUGCAUCUGCCACCCGUCCUCGGCCUUGUCCUGCUUCUUAUCCCUGCAGCACCCACACAGCUGGCCCACAGGCCUGACUCCCUGAUGCCAGUCACAAAGCCGGAAGCCAUCCUGGGGUGGGGCUGCCUCAGACCCUCCCUCAGCUCUCACCCUGGCCCCUUCCAGCUGCUUCUCUAUGCAUGGGGGUCCUCACAGGACCUCGUUCACCACUGCCCAGUGAGGACGCACUCUGACUGUCCUCAUCCACAGAUUCAGAAAAGGAGCACCACCAGGCCACCCCCCAUUUGUGCCCUCUACUGAGGGAUAGGUCUGUCCCCAGGGCUAAAGUUACCAGCACGGACACUCACUAAAGGACCGCAGCAGCAGCAAUGAAGAGAAACAGCUAGAAACAACCUGUGCUCAUCCGGAAAGAUGCUUCCUGUAAAUCACUGUGCAUCUGCAGGGCAGGACCCCCAGCAGCCACUGGAGAGGCUAGGCGCUGUCUGUGCACAUUGAGGGCAUCAAGGUAAGAGAUUCACGGAGAUUCAAGUACCAGUUUGGACUCCCAGGAAUGGGCACCUAAACCCCAAGUCAUCUUGUAUUCUACCAGAGCCUCUGCAAAACUGACACUUCUGCCCUCCAAAGCAGGAACUUCCUAUCUCAUAGAGAUGGGGUUGUCUUCUCAAGCUAUAAAAGCCCUGGAGCUGUGAAACUGGAGCUGAGAGAAUGAUCGACCAGACCCUAGCCCACCACAGCAACCCCUUAAGACCUGGUUCCUUUUCCUUUGUUAAGGGGCCAGUCUGAUUUUCCAGGGCUGUCCCCCUUCAGUCCCUCCCUAUUUUCUCUUCCUUUCCAGUUAAAGCUUUGCCCGAAGAUUCAUGCUAUUGCCUCAGUUUUAAUUUCCAUUAUCUCUAAGCAAGGACCCAGGCUAGCCAGGGACAAGCAGACCCGGUCUAGGUGAUGGGAGGAGGUGUUGGCAAUGUUGUCCCUGAAGAGGGAAAUAGACAUUGGCCAUGGGGACAGGAAGAAGACACUGCACUCAUGGCACCUUUGUGUGGUUCAAAUCUCAGAUGGUGCCUUCUGGAAAUGAGAAUCAAUUGCUUAAAAACCAUAAUAUACUACAUAAAGAAAACACCGUGGUUAUCUGACUUCAGAGUUCAGACUCCAAACCCUGAGAGAGGACAGCCUAGCAGACUCUGGACUAGGGAAUUGGACUCGAGUUUUAACUAGGCAAAGAGCCACCUGGAAUAAAGACUUAUCUCCUAAUCAUCUUUGCAUGUAGAUUUGCUCACGUGACUAUGUCCCAGCAAAUGGGAGCCAAAUGGAAGUAUGAGUAAGUUCCAAAGAGUGCCCUAGGGGACAGAGAUAUGCCUUUGCUCAUGCCUUCUUUCCCCCAUUCUGCUGAUGAGAUGGUGACUUGAUGGCUAGCCACUGAGCAGCCUGGGUUUGUUUUUCUUUUGGUACCAGGGAUCGAACUUGGGUCCUUGCACUUGCGCAGCAGGAGGCGAAACCACUGAGCUAAAUCCCUGGCCCUGAGCAGCCUGUUUGGACCAUGAAUUGAAAGGUACAUACUAGAGAAUGGUAGGUAAAUUAUAUACAAGGGGGCUGAGUCCUAAUAUCAUGAAGGACCAGCCCUGUGCUGCUGCUUCAACAUGAGAACAAGAAGGACAACUGAGGUUUCAGGGAACAGGGAGCUAGGGAGAGCCUGGGUCCCUCUUGACAAUGUAGAGUGGCCAUAUUAACUCUGGGGCUUCCAUUACAUGAGAGGAGACACAUACUAUCUUAGGCAAGCCACUAUCUCCUUAGGUAUCCUGUCCCUUCCCAGCCAUCGAACCCCAAGUGAAAGCCAUGAGCCAGCUCCUCCAGGAUGAGGGUAGGGGAGAGCCUGCUAAGCUUUUCCCCCUCCCUGUCCUUGGGGAGUGCUCAGUCAGGAAGGGGCCUAGGAGCUAGGAAGGGGGAGGCAAAGCCUCUUUUCCUCCAGUCCCAGAGGAAUGGGAUGAGUGUGAUCCUGAAAUGAGAUGCAGGGCUUGGGUGUAGUUCAGAGGCAGAAUGUGUGCUUAGCCUGCCGAAAGUCCCAGGUUCCAUCCCUAGAAGCAAAAAAACAAAACAAACAAAACAGCAACCAUGUUAACUACUCUGGCCCCGGGGGAUUACAGGUAAUUUGAGGGUAGAGACCAGCACAAUGCAUAGCAUACAGUAGGUGCUCAAUAAACCUUUGCGGGCUAAUUAUGUGAUAUCCUGUAACCAGCACUCCCUCCACAGUGCAGCUCAGCCUCUCAGACCAACUGUGCAGCUCUGAGUUUUCUCAGUGGAGGAUGUCCCUCUGGGACAAGGUGAUUCAAAGCUUGCGACACAUGGUCAUGCUCAGGGUAGCACUGGCUCCUCACAACUCCAACAACAGGGGCUAUGACUGCAAUCUUCAGAGGAGAAAGCAAGGACCCGGAACUUGGAAACUGCUUGCUCAGGAUCAGCCACGAGGAAGUGCAGGAGCAGGAACUUGAACCCCGGGUUUUGAAUGAAAAACUUCACCUACCUGAAACAAAGGCUGCACAUGAGAUUCUUACACAAAGGCACCCUUUUCCCAACUGCUCAUCCCAACACGGAGGCCCUGGGUCAGGUUUGUGACGUCCUGAGGUGCUGAAGGGGUGGGACAAGGGAGGGGAAAGCUGUCAGGCAAUCCCUCAGCAGCUUGGAGGUCUGGGAGACAGAUUCGACCAGCACUGGUGAUAGCCCAAACAGUGCAUUUGCACAAACAGAACAAGGAACAGAAACUCGAGUUGCUUUACUGCCAUCUACUGGAAAUUUGUCAUAAUAAUCAUUCAAAUUUGUGGUAAAUGGGGAAAAAAAAAGAAGCCUCCCUAGAAUCAUACAGUGUAGAACCUGAACAACAUGUGGAGCAGCCCUAGAUGCACCUUUUCUCACUUGAGAGCAUGAAAAAAAAAAAAAAAAGACCCAUCACCAUGGAGGCUCCAGUCCUGUCUGCUUCCUUCUUGCAUGAGAGUCCCUGGCUCAUCCAGAGGUGCUACAGCCAUCUGCCUGCCCUAGUUUCACCAUGAGACCCAGUAGAAUCCAUGCAUCCUUCCACCCGCUCCAGGCACACGUCCCAGACACCUACGCUGGGCCAGGUACUUAUCUGAAUUUUUCACCAAUUACUAGCUGUGCGUACUUGGACAUUUUCUUAGGCUACUGUCUACUCUUCAGUAUGAAGGGAUAAUAACCCAGCUGGCACUGUGAAUGAGACUUAAGUGAGAUAAUAUAUGUAAAGUCCUAGAAGCCAGUGGCUGACCCUGGACCUACUGCCAGCACCAUUAGAUCUGAGUUACACACAUGCAUGCAUGGGUGGCCAAAGGGAAGACAGGCUCUGGCACAUCUUCCCUCAGAAACAAUCAGGAAACUGUGGCACAAAUGCAUGAAUAUAAAGUUCUCAGUGUGAAGCUGAGCCCAGAGCACAGUGAGUGCCUGGGCACUGGCUUUUCUCCUUUUCCUCUAGUCCUGGCUGGAUCUGAAGCUGGCUAGGUGAGUUCAGGGUCCCUUUGAUUCCCAGGGAGAGAGAACAGUUGCAAGUUUCCUUUACCUGCAGGAAGAGGCUUCCAGACUACUGUGUGGCCAAGCCUCUGGACACCUCCAUGUCUGGCUCAAAGCAAGGCCACAGACCCAUAGAGUUUUAGUUUCUUCAUCCAUGAAAUGAAGCCAGUCAUAUUUACUUUGUAGCCAUUUAGGUAAUGCAAGAAGUAACUAAAAGGCCUCCAACCAUGCUGGAAACAAGCUAAACACAAAAUAAAUUAGAGAUGCAAUCUCAGCUCUGGGACCCAGGGGGCGUCUGGAGCCAGCUGAAGGAUUCUAUUCUCUGCCAUCAAACUGCCUACCACAAUUGGCAUGAGCACUUGAAAUUGCAGGUCCUAAAACUGAUGAGGAGGCAGGAUUGAGCUCACUCCAUCUCGCUCCUCCUAUGGGAGGGAAGUUGGUACACACUUUCCAGUGGGUAGGUAGGCAACAGGAUCCUUUUGACCCAGCCAUUUCAUUUCUAGGAAUUCAGCUAAGGAAAUAGUCACAGGCCCCUCAGAGUGUUGUGCUAGGACAUUCAUUGCAAUGUUGCUAAUAAUAGUGAGAAACUGGAAAUAAUCUAAAGUUAGAGACACAUUCAAUACACAUCUUGGCUGGAUGCCAAAUGGUCAAGUGCUAAGAUCAGUACUCAGCAGAAGCCAAGGCCAACGCUUUCCACCAUCUUCAUGCAGCCAGUGUCUUUGGUAAAGGAGUGAAUUUCAAGAAAAUGUUAUCAGACUUUGCAGUGCCAACAUCCUAAUCGACAUGUUUCACUGCCAGUGUUUGACAGUCUAACGUUACAGCUCAAGAACAGCAUUUUCUCAGUAUUAGCAGAAGAUGGAUUGUUUCUAUGUUAAAUACUGUGCACAUUUGUGUUAAUAAAUUGAUGCUUACAUUGACUGAUGCUUGUGGGAGAGUGUGACGGCCUCAUUUUUUCCCAAUACUUUCUUCUUUUCUCCAUAUUCUGUAUAUUCUUUCCCAUGUUGGGUUAAAUAUGAUUUGCCACAGAAAUAUUGAUCAAAAACUAUAGUCAAUGUUUAAAUAAAAAAUUAUUACAGAAAAGACACAUUGUCAUUAGUCCCCCUCACUUUGAACACACUUAUUCUAUUAUUCUUGCCACUUUCUGAAGCAGUUCUAGAAGUCUUCUUUUGUGAGUGUUUUUUUGUGUGUGAGUGCGUGUGUGUGCCUGCCUCAAUGUCCUGAACUAAUUAAAAAUGUUUACAGCAACUUCUGGCAAAUAAAAACAUUGCAGUGUGUCCUCAUCCACCUUACUUGUCAGAUCUAGCACCGUGAGGUUUCUGGUUCUUCCCCAAAGUCAAAAUGAUCAUGAAAGGUAAAUGUUUUGAACCAAUUCAAGAGAUUGAGGGACAGCCACAACAGUGCAAAUAAAGACACUCACAAAAGAAGACUUUCAGAACUGCUUCAGACAGUGGCAAAAAUGAUGGGAGAAGUGUGUUCCAAAGAGGAGGAGUAUUCUGAGGGGAAUUAAUGG